rnacentral:tRNA from 2 species
GGGCCCGUAGCUUAGCCUGGUGGAGCGUCUGGCUCAUAACCAGAUGGUCGCCGGUUCGAAUGCAGACUUGCCACA